rnacentral:SRP_RNA from 1 species
UAUAUUUGCUAUCGCAAUAUAGUUGACAAAAUGUGUCAGGUCGGAAACAAAGCAGCACUAAGUCACAUAACUAUAUGUACGGUAGCAAUUAUUUUA